AUUGAACGCUGGCGGCAGGCUUAACACAUGCAAGUCGAGCGGCCUCACCACUCAAUUUAUUUUGCGACAUUGAGAGAUGUUGAAAGUAAGAAGAGAUAAAUUGAGUGGUGAGGUAGCGGCGGACGGGUGAGUAAUGCUUAGGAAUCUGCCAUUUAGUGGGGGACAACAUUCCGAAAGGGAUGCUAAUACCGCAUACGCCCUACGGGGGAAAGCAGGGGAUCUUCGGACCUUGCGCUAAAUGAUGAGCCUAAGUCGGAUUAGCUAGUUGGUGGGGUAAAGGCCUACCAAGGCGACGAUCUGUAGCGGGUCUGAGAGGAUGAUCCGCCACACUGGGACUGAGACACGGCCCAGACUCCUACGGGAGGCAGCAGUGGGGAAUAUUGGACAAUGGGCGGAAGCCUGAUCCAGCCAUGCCGCGUGUGUGAAGAAGGCCUUUUGGUUGUAAAGCACUUUAAGCGAGGAGGAGGCUACCUGGAUUAAUACUCUAGGAUAGUGGACGUUACUCGCAGAAUAAGCACCGGCUAACUCUGUG
rnacentral:rRNA from 1 species